AUUGAACGUUGGCGGCACGCCUAAAUACAUGCAAGUCGANCGAGAAAGCACUUCGGUGUGAGUACAGUGGCGGACGGGUGAGUAACGCGUAGGAAUCUACCUAGUAGUGGGGGACAACUCGAGGAAACUCGAGCUAAUNCCGCAUACGCUCUUAGGAGGAAAGUGGGGGAUCUUCGGACCUCACGCUAUUAGAGGAGCCUGCGUUAGAUUAGCUUGUUGGUGAGGUAAAGGCUCACCAAGGCGACGAUCUAUAGCUGGUCUGAGAGGACGAUCANCCACNCUGGAACUGAGACACGGUCCAGACUCCUACGGGAGGCAGCAGUAGGGAAUCUUGGGCAAUGGGCGAAAGCCUGACCCAGNGAUGCCGCGUGUGCGAAGAAGGCNUUAGGGUUGUAAAGCACUUUCAGUCGUGAAGAAAAGCUACGAUUUAAUAUGUCGUGGUCUUGACGUUAGCGACAGAAGAAGUACCGGCUAACUCCGUGCCAGCAGCCGCGGUAAUACGGAGGGUACGAACGUUAAUCGGAAUUNCUGGGCGUAAAGCGCGCGUAGGCGGUUUGAUAAGUGGGAUGUGAAAGCCCCGGGCUCAACCUGGGAACUGCAUUCCAAACUGUCAAACUAGAGUGUGGUAGAGGGCGGUAGAAUUUCCUG
rnacentral:rRNA from 1 species